CCUGGUUGAUCCUGCAGUAGCAUAUGCUUGUCUCAAAGAUUAAGCCAUGCAUGUGUAAGUACACACGGCCGGUACAGUGAAACUGCGAAUGGCUCAUUAAAUCAGUUAUGGUUCCUUUGAUCGCUCCAUCUGUUACUUGGAUAACUGUGAUAAUUCUAAAGCUAAUGCAUGCCGAUGAGCGCAGACCUUCCAGGAUGCAUGCAUUUAUCAGACCGACUAAUCCGGGCUCGCCGGCCCCUUUGGUGACACUAGGUAACCUUGGGCCGAUUGACGUCCCCAUGACGGCAAAGAUUAAUUCGGAUGUGUGCCCUAUCAACUUUAAAUGGUACUUUCUGUGCCUACCAUGGUGACCACGGGUAAUGGGGAAUCAGUGUUGCAUUCCGGAGAGGGAGCCUGAGAAAUGGCUACCACACCCAAGGAAGGCAGCAGGCACGCAAAUUACCCACUCCCGACUCCGGGAGGUAGUGACGAAAAAUAACAAUAUAGGACUCUUUCGAGGCACUGUAAUUGGAGUGAGUACACUUUAAAUCCUUUAACGAGUACCCUUUGGUGGGCAAAUCUGAUGCCAGCAGCCACAGUAAUUCCAGCUCCAAUAGCGUAUAUUAAAGUUGCUGCAGUUAAAAAGCUUGUAGUUUUAUCUUGGGAUCGAGCUGGCGUUCCACCUUGGUGCCGCCUUGAAGCUCUUGCCUGUGUCCUGGAGGUCUGAAGCAUUUACUUUGAAAAAAUGAGUGUUCAAAGCAGGCCGGUCGCCUGAGUACUUCAGCUAGGAAUAAUGGAAUAGGACUUCUAUUUUGUUGGUUUUCGGAAGUGGGGCCAUGAGACGGCCGGGGGCCUCGUAUUGUGCCGCUACAGGUGAAAUUCUUGGACCGGCGCAAGACGAACCAAAGCGAAAGCAUUAGCCAAGAAUGUUUUCAUUAAUCAAGAACGAAAGUCUGAGGUUCGAAGAUGAUCUGAUACCGUUCUUGCUCAGACCAUAAACUAUGCAGACUAGCGAUCUGGCUGCGUUUUUUCCCAUGACCCGCUGAGCAGCUUCUGCGAACCAAAGUCUUUGGGUUCCGGGAGAGUAUGGUUGCAAAGCUGAAACUUAAAGAAAUUGACGGAAUGGAACCACCAUGAAACCUUGACCGGUCACGGAAAGGAUUGACAGAUUGAUAGUUCCUUUCUCGAUCUGUGGGUGGUGGUGCAAUGGCCGUUCUUAGUUGCCCAGAGCGAUUUGUUGCGUUUAAUUUCGAUAACGAACUAGACCUAAACCCCCCUCUCCCCUCAGAGGUGAGCGUUCAACUUCUGAACCCUGUUCGUGAUGGGGAUUGGGGAUUGCAAUUUCUUCCCAUGAACAAGGAAUUUCGAGUAAAUGCGGGUCAUAAGCUUGCGUUGAGCCAUGGUGUAGGUGGGUGUCGGUUCUGGCCCCCAUGUCUGUGGGCGAGUGAUGACCAGGCCUGCUGGCACAGCAGACGGCCUUCCCUCUUGCCCAGGUAUCUGAAGCUCGGCCCAUGCGGGCCAGGCUGGGGUUUGAAGACUCUAGCGAUAAACACCCGA
rnacentral:rRNA from 1 species